AACACUUGUUUGUGUUGUUGGGUUCGAUCAGAAGGCAGGGGGCGACUUCAAGCUCCCCAAAACCCUAGUUCACAUCAAAAACCACCAAUUGAAGGAUCAAAUCGAGUCCAAAACGAAAACCGAGCAUAUAUUCGUGAUCCCCAUUGAAAGGAGAUCAUAAGUUUGUCGCCUAACGAGCUAGGUGGAGGCUUGAAAAAGAAGCGGUCAAACGAAUCAAGCACGAGAAGAAAACGUAUUCGGAUGCGAGGUAAGUAGAGCUUACGCCCCUUUACAUUAUUUGCAAAGUUACUUAAUUUCAAGUAAUGAUAUGAAUGCUACUAAGUGGUUGGUAUAUGAUAUUCCGACGCGAUUCAAUGAGAGUUGGAAUGAGGGGAAAUGGUAAAUUAGUCAUGUAAUGACGAAUAAUUAAAAACGGUUUUAAGUAAAACAAGUUCAAAGAAAACCGGGAUAGGUAAAAGGGGUGAAAUGGUAAUUAAAUACCAUCUCAACACGGACAAAUGGUCAAUUAGACUAAAUGGGUCAAAUGGUGUGGAUAACACCAUUUGGCAAUAACAAUUGACAAUCGCUUGUUGAGUUUUGUGAUUUCAGGAAAUAACAUGUGUUGCGUUGCUUUAAUUAGAAAAUUUAAAGCAAGAAGUAUGUAAACGGGUCAAUACUAUGAUCCGAGCCAGGUACGCAUACGUGAAUUUAUAGUUAAAAGUGCAAGAAGGUCUAACAUCUAGCCGAAAUCCUUCAUUUCAAAAUGAAGGACUAAAUGUGACCAAAGAGCCCUUAAUAGGUAAACAAUGUAAACGACCCUUAGAGGUUGCCUAGAAACUUAUAUUAUGAGUUUGAAACCCUUAGAUGUGUAUAAAAGUUCUAGGCAAAAACAAUUGCGGGUCAAACGCCUAGAAAUAGUUAAUUGCGGAAAAAUGACCAACCGAUAGGUAAAAUUGGGAAAAAGGGGUUCAUAUGUUAAAUCCACCACAAAAUAGUUGUGGUGGAAUAUUUCUAGUUAAUUAGACAUGGAAAAUAUUGUAGUAUCAAAAGAAAAGCAAAAGUUCUAGACCAAAAUGCGUAAAUACCCUUAACGGGUCGAAAUAGAAGUAUUAGCGAAACGAGUUAAGGAUGUGUAAUAACCCGUGAUUUGAACCUUGUGCAAUAGGAAAUAAUCAUAAUAUUAUGUUUACGAAAGAAACAAGGGCCACAAUCAAGUUCGUUAGAUGAAUUCAUGAACGGGUCAAAAUUUGGGUAAAAAUGGUAAUAAGCCGAAGACUUAAAAGUCUUAAAUUUUUGUUAAUCCGGAUGUCGGAUUUUAACUCCAUAUGAUGGAGAAUUAAAUUAAGGACGCGUAGGAAAAAGAAUCGUGUAAAACGGAUUAAAAACGAGAGAGUUAUGUCCGUUUCGGUAAGAACUAAUGAAAAAUAGACGUGCAGAGUUGACACGGGCGGGUGACUUUUUGACACGGCCGGGUGGCUGGGCUGUGAAAAAUAUAUGUUAACUGACACGGCCGGGUGACUUUUUGACACGGCCGGGUGAAGGGGCUGAAAACAAAACAAAAAUAAUUUCUUGUUUUGUUACGUUAAGCACGGAACUUGUUUAUACACGAUUAUUAAAGUGUCAAAACUAAUUAUUUACAUGGUUUUGACCGUAGGUGAAGAUGGGAUAAGCGGUUUGAAAGAUACGAAAGUUUUCGUGCAAAUAAACGGCAAAAUAGGAAAGCUGGAAUGCAGGGGCCACCGUAACUUACGGUGCCACUGUAAGUUACGGUGGAGCUGAAGGCUUUACGGCAGCCCCCUACUGAUUUACGUUGAAGGACACUCGCAUAUGAGGAUAGCGAGAGCUUAACAAAUUACGGAUAUGAUAGAAGAACGGUCCAAAAUAUGACAAGAGGAGCAUGCUCACCAAGGACUAAAUCGCGUAACGACCGCGAACAAAGUUAAAGGCAAGAAACGCCCGUCGGGGCAAGCAUUGCCAGGUGCACACUUUUAAAAAUUUAAUUGCACAAGUAGCAAUAUGCAACAAACACGUAAGUAAUGACGGUUGCAUACACAUAUGAUAGAACUUAGAAAACCUGAUUUCCAAGAGAAAUUUAAUAGAAAAUGUGUCAUUCACGAUGAUGAGUAACAAGAUUUGUUCAUAUGGAAACUUGGAUUGGGGUAAUUAUCCAAGUGGGAAACUCUCAAUUUAAUACUAUUGAGAAAAGUAGCAAUCACAUUAACAAAUGUGAUUAAAUAUUAGUUUAAAAAAAACAUUGUAUAUGUUCAUGAAUAAAACAUGUAAAUCAAAUAACUGUUAAAUGGUAACUAAAUAAAUGGUUGCCAAUGAAAGUCCAGAAUAUAGAAAGAUUAGAGGCGUCACUUACAUGGGGUGUAGUGCGGAAAUUAUGAAAAGGUC